ensembl:snRNA U1 U1 spliceosomal RNA
AUACUUACCUGGCAGGGAAGAUACCAUGAUCAUGAAGGUGGUUUUCCCAGGGCAAAGCUUAUCCAUUGCACUCCAGAUGUGCUGACCCCUGCAAUUUCUCCAAGUAUGGGAAACUCGGCUGCAUAAUUUGUGGUAAUGGGGGACUACGUUUGUCCUUUCCCCGA